rfam:Ascochyta rabiei strain ArDII scaffold_246, whole genome shotgun sequence.
GGCCCGAUGGCGCAACGGUAGCGCGUCAGAUUCCAGUUGUUACGGUAGUCGUCUACUGUAAGUAAGUGGUGGUUCCUGAAGGUUAGGCGUUCAAAUCGCCUUCGGGUCA